UCCUAGGCUGUCAUUGUAAAUAAGAAUUUGUUCUUAACUGACUUGCCUGGUUAAAUCAAAUAAAAAUGAUAUCCACCAGUGUUCUCUGCAGCAUGCAUUUUCCCAGAGCACAACCAAAAGCCUAGCUGGCGUUAAGUAAGAUGACAUCAUUGGCCUCACAGACCGGACCCCCAUUCACCGUCCAUACCCCAACCCCCAACCUCACCCCCACGCCUGGACAAAGGGAACCCAGCACAGCUGAGACAGAGGCCAGGGCUAUCUGCCAGACCCUCCCCCCUGCAGCUUUACCCAUAACUUCAUUGGGGAGAUGAAUUGUCUCAUUGUGUGUAUCCAACUGCCCAGCUCACAGGAGAAGAGAGGGUAGAACAGUGUGGAGCCAUGCUCGCUGGACAUCAGGGCAUCAUGCAGUGACCCGGCUUCAAGGGUCAGUUCACACAGUGUUUAAAAAACAUCUCAUGUAACGGAUCACUGGAUCACCCGCUUCUUUCAUUAGGACUCAGAGGGAUCCUCUCUCUACAAUAUCCUGAGGAGCCUGAGUUCCAUCAUAAUGGUUGAUAUUUGAGGAAUUGCUCCAUCCACGACCGUAAGGCCCACCAGCAGUCGGUGAAGACAGUCCAGUACAUCACUGGGACCGUGCUCCCACCCGUCCAGGACAUCUACUCGAAACGGUACCUGAGGAAGGCACACAGUAUCAUCAAUGACCCCACACACCCCAGCCACGAGCUGUUCUCUUCCUUACCAUCGUGGAGAGGGUAUCGGAGCAUGAGGUCUGAUACCAACAGGCUCAAAGACAGUUUCUAUCUACCAGCCACCAGACUGCUGAACACUUGAACUGGACUGACCACCUGCUCUGAUUCUCCACACCUAGCACACAUGCACACUUCUCAUGCACACACCCACAGACAUACACACACAUCACAACUGCUUCUACCAGACUCUUAUUAUACUGCUCUGUUUAUACACUGCACCCCCCCCCCCCUUCCCCAAUACACAUGUAGAUAUUGGACUAAUAUUUGUUUCUUCCUGUAUUAUACUGAUGCUAAAAUAUUUAUUAUAUUCUACUGAGCCAUUUAUUUAAUGUUCGUAAUUGUAUAUUUUAUUAUUUCUUAUUGUUGUUGCAUUGUCGAAGGAACCUGCAAGUAAGCAUUUAAUUGGACGAUGUAUACCGUGUGUUCAAGUUAGGCUACCCCAGUUAUCCAAAUGUUCAAAUGGGGGGAAAUUAAAGAUUGACACAUUUUAGGUGUGCAGUAUCAAACCUUGACAUGUCAGUUAAAGAUUUCCUCGCCAAGGGCAUCUGAGGCUUGUAGGCUCAUCUCAUGGGUUAAGUUCUGUUUGUGUCUCUUGUGUUUAAUUAACAUAAGUGCCAUUAGUGAAAUAGAUGCUCCAAUGACUUUUUCCCUUCCGAGGAUGGACAUCAAUUCAGGCAAUUUAUGUUCCAUUCAUAUUAUUGAACAUACUGUAUACACUGUUUGUAGGUUACUUUGUGUAGUGAAAGGAGAUUGCUUGGAGAUAAAGGUUAAUAAUGGAUGGAUUGAAUCUUGACCACAGUCAUCUGCCUUUGUCUUCAUUACUUCAUUACUGUAGAGAGUCAUUCAAGCAUUUCAACUGGCUCAUAUACUGUACACUUUGAGUCAGAAAGAGUGGUAUAGAGAGUGGUAUAAAAUCUGUUUUAAUAUUUGCUCAUUGUAACAUGCUGUCAUUUAAACAUUUUAUGGGGGUUGAAAUCAGCCUAUAAAUAUGUCUUUUAUUGUUUUUCUUCUACAAUGUCCUUGUUCCUGCUUCUCUAGCUCAGUAACCACAGGCAUAAUUCUGGUGGGAUGGCUACGAGCCAACUCAGAAAUGUUUUAUUGUUGUGGGAAAAUGAUUUUAAGUGCUUGUUUUACAAUGCUGCUUGGGGCAUGCCUAUUUCUGCUGACAGUACUGCGUGAGCAGCAGCUUUUGUCUGGCGAAACUAUACGUUUUUAAAGAACUGUUGAAGUAAACAAAUAAAACAGAACAAUGUCAAACCGC